CGAAGCCGUUUGCACUUGCUUCCUUGUCUGUCCUGCUCACGCUAAGAGGAAGUGCCAUUUUCGGGAGAUCCGUGUCUGACUAUGCUGCCAGGUCCCAUCCACUGAUUCUAUAUUCAGUGCUAAAGAGCAGAUGGAUUACAGAUGUCUAGCAGCACCAGAGAGCAGACCUCCCGUUCGCUCCUGACAGAUUGAGGGCGUGUGGACAGCUUUGUUAUUAUGAUGCAGAAAACGCAUGUGACCUGAAUCAUGCGUGUGGGCAGAAGUUGGCACGUACCUUUCAACAACCUGGCAUUUUGACCCCUGACAAACCUGACAUUUGAAGGGAGAAAAAGAAAGAAUCAAUCAGCUCAUAUAUCACAAGCGUUUAGGAAACAAAGCCUGUACAAACAACAACAGGCAGAUUGCGGAUUAAUUCAGCGUGGCAAAACUGAUUGGAGAGCGGAAAACAGAGAGGGAGACGGACAUGAAGACAGAGAGAGGGAGACAAACCACAUUUCACAAUCAGUAUUGUCAUUCUUAAUGAGGUCGAUCUAUUAGCCAUUCAUCAAAAGCAUGUCCUUUCACAAGCCUUCUGCUCAAUCACAAAGAACAUAUUGAA